rnacentral:rRNA from 1 species
ACGCACGCUGGCGGCGUGCUUAACCCCUGCAAGUCGCACUGAAAGGCCCCUUUGGGGGUACUCGAGUGGCGAACGGGUGAGUAACACGUGAGUAACCUGCCCUUCACUUCGGGAUAACUUCAGGAAACUGGGGCUAAUACCGGAUAGGAAUCCUUUCUGCAUGGUGGGGGUUGGAAAGCUUCGGCGGUUUUGGGUGGACUCGCGGCUUAUCAGCUUGUUGGUGGGGUAGUGGCCUACCAAGGCUUUGACGGGUAGCCGGCCUGAGGGGGCGAACGGCCACAAUGGGACUGAAAUACGGCCCAGAGGCCUACGGGAAGGAACAGUGGGGAAUAUUGAACAAUGGGCGGAAGACUGAUGCAGCAAAGGCGCGUGAGGGAUGACAGAAUUCGGGUUGUAAACCGCGUUGAGCAGGGGAGAAGCUUGUGGUGACGGUACAUGCAGAAGAAGAAACGGCUAACGACGUG